UAGGCGAAGGGGGCUAGCGGUUUGUUCGGAGUUUACUGGGACGUAAAGCGCACGUAGGCGGAUCGUUAAGUCGGGGGUGGAAAUCCUGGAGCUCAACUCCAGAACUGCCUUCGAUACUGGCGAUCUUGAGUCCGGAAGAGGUGAGUGGAACUCCUAGUGUAGAGGUGGAAUUCGUAGAUAUUAGGAAGAACACCAGUGGCGAAGGCGGCUCACUGGGUCUCUUCUGACGCUGAGGCACGAAAGCUAGGGUAGCGAACGGG
rnacentral:rRNA from 1 species